rnacentral:tRNA from 1 species
GCCCAGGUGCUGCAAACUGUUAAUGCUCUUGGCUGCUAACCAAAAGGUUGGAGGUUCAAGUCCACCCAGAGGCA